rnacentral:tRNA from 1 species
GCCUGGGUGGCUCAGUGGGUUAAGCAUCUGACUUCAGCUCAGGUCAUGAUCUCAUGGUUUGUGGGUUCAAGCCCCAUGUUGUGCU